UUAUGUACUCCAUCGCAGCAGGCAUGUCUUCUUCCAAGUAGUUGUCAAAGUCCCAAUCAUACUUCUCAUACACAUCAAGUUGUUCCUGGAUCUCUUCUAAAGCAGAGGUAACACCUUGUAAAUUAAAAGGCUGGAAUGGACUCAGUUGUUGAGCUCCGUCAAUUAUAUUGAUAAGAUUUUUAUUCCAUUGCCUAAGUUGAGCAGCAAUGUUUGAAGUCUUCACUAAUGGCUGUUUUGACAGAGUUUCAGAUCGUAUCUGUUCAGUAUACUUCAUUUCUCCUCUGUCGGUGCUAAGUCCCAAUCCUCG
rnacentral:misc_RNA from 1 species